rnacentral:tRNA from 1 species
CAAGACAGAGCUGGUUUAGCGUUUUAUUUACACUAAGAAGGUAACUUUGAAGAGAAGUUGUUUUGA